rnacentral:rRNA from 1 species
AGUGAACGCUGGCGGUAGGCCUAACACAUGCAAGUCGAACGGCAGCACAGUAAGUGCUUGCUCUUACGGGUGGCGAGUGGCGGAAGGGUGAGGAAUACAUCGGAAUCUACUUUUUCGUGGGGGAUAACGUAGGGAAACGUACGCUAAUACCGCAUACGACCUACGUGUGAAAGCAGGGGAUCUUCGGACCUUGCGCGAUUGAAUGAGCCGAUGUCGGCUUAGCUAGUUGGCGGGGUAAAGGCCCACCAAGGCGACGAUCCGUAGCUGGUCUGAGAGGAUGGACAGCCACACUGGAACUGAGACACGGUCCAGACUCCUACGGGGGGCAGCAGUGGGGAAUAUUGGACAAUGGGCGCAUGCCUGAUCCAGCCAUACCGCGUGGGUGAAGAAGGCCUUCGGGUUGUAAAGCCCUUUUGGUGGGAAAGAAAAGCAGCAGGUUAAUACCCCGCUGUUCUGACGGUACCCAAAGAAUAAGCACCGGCUAACUUCGUG